rnacentral:rRNA from 1 species
UACGUAGGGGGCAAGCGUUGUCCGGAAUCAUUGGGCGUAAAGAGCGUGUAGGCGGCCAGAUAAGUCCGCUGUGAAAUCUCGAGGCUCAACUUCGAGCUGUCGGUGGAAACUGUCUGGCUAGAGUCCGGAAGAGGAGAAUGGAAUUCCUGGUGUAGCGGUGAAAUGCGCAGAUAUCAGGAAGAACACCCGUGGCGAAGGCGGUUCUCUGGGACGGUACUGACGCUGAGACGCGAAAGUGUGGGGAGCGAACAGG